GAUAGUUCAGCUGGUUAGAGCGUCCCGAUCAAAAUCGGGAAGGUCGGCGGUUCAAGCCCGCCUC
rnacentral:tRNA from 1 species